GCUCCAGUAGCGUAUAUUAAAGUUGUUGCGGUUAAAAAGCUCGUAGUUGGAUUUCUGCCGAGGGGAGCCGGUCCGCACUAUGUGCGUGUAUCUGGUCUUGCCUUGGCAUCCUCUCGAGGGACGUUAGUGCGCUUGAUUGCGUGCUGCGGGCUUCGGGACUUUUUACUUUGAGGAAUUAGAGUGUUCACUGCAGGCGACCG
rnacentral:rRNA from 1 species